CCUACGGGUGGCAGCAGUGGGGAAUAUUGCACAAUGGGGGAAACCCUGAUGCAGCGACGCCGCGUGAGUGAUGAAGUAUUUCGGUAUGUAAAGCUCUAUCAGCAGGGAAGAAAAUGACGGUACCUGACUAAGAAGCCCCGGCUAACUACGUGCCAGCAGCCGCGGUAAUACGUAGGGGGCAAGCGUUAUCCGGAUUUACUGGGUGUAAAGGGAGCGUAGACGGUUGGGCAAGCCAGAUGUGAAAGCCCGGGGCGCAACCCCGGGACUGCAUUUGGAACUGUGUGGCUGGAGUGCCGGAGAGGCAGGCGGAAUUCCUAGUGAAGCGGUGAAAUGCGUAGAUAUUAGGAGGAACACCAGUGGCGAAGGCGGCCUACUGGACGGUAACUGACGUUGAGGCUCGAAAGCGUGGGGAGCAAACAGGAUUAGAUACCCGAGUAGUC
rnacentral:rRNA from 1 species